AGCGUGCCAGUGAAUCUCGAGACCCUCCAGGAAGGAGAAGCCGUUGGAGAUCAAAAGAAACCCAUAUGAGAAGGGAGAAAACAACAGAUUUGGAGUUUGAAGCAAGGAGAGAGAAGAAAAAGCUCAAGCAGAAAAGGAAGAAGGAUGAACCUGAUAGAAAUUCCUCUUUGAUUGAAGUCUCUGAGGAAAAAAUGAAUGAGCUAGUUCAGGUGCAGAAGUUUGACAAGAAUGGUGGAAUUAAUGAGAAAAGUGUCGAAGGGGCCAACAAGAAAAAGAAAAAGAAGAGGGGAAUGGAGGAGGCUGAUAGUGAACUAAAAUCAAACCUGACUAAUGAUCAGGAGCUUGAAAAUGAUUGCAAGAAAUCCAAUGGGAAAAUCACGGAAGAAGUUAACUUUGCAGAUAAUGAAAAGAAGAGAAAGAAACUCUUUGAGGAUGACAAAAUGGGUGAGGCAGCUAAGAGAUUUCAAUGCUCUGAAGACUGUGACAACAAUGGAGAAGGGGAUAAAAAGAAAAUGAAGAAGAAAGAGAAGAGAGAAAAGGUAGAUGGUGAAUGGGUACAGAAGAUCAUAACUGAUGGAAAGGAGGCUGGAGUAGAAAGUGAGCACUCAGAUGGGAAAAUUAUGGAGAAAGAGAAAAGCAACCAUAGAAAGAAGUCAAGAAGUCAAAUGCAGGAAACUGUGGUUGAGAAACUGGGCACAGAAAGCAGUAGAAUUGAAGGAAAUAAUUUCUUGGAGAAUGACGGUAAUGUACAGACAACUGGAGAUGAGACAAGCAACAGUAACAUAGAGGUUGUGUAUGUAGAAGACAGUAAUAAAAGGAAGAAGAGGGCCAAGUCAAAGAAACAUGUUAAUGUAGGGGACUGCAACAAAGACGAAAAGGAAAUAGCCAAGUCAGAUAAAGGAAGUCUAAAAACCCCAAAAAAUGUUAGGGCUCCCGAUCUUUCUGAAAAUUCUACACCUAGAAAACCAUCAAAAAGAGUAAGUUUUUCUGAUGAUGUGCAGGUAGUGUAUGUAGAAGACAAUAAUAAAAGGAAGAAGAGGGCCAAGUCAAAGAAACAUGUUAAUGUAGGGGAAUGCAAUGAAGACGAAAAGGAAAUAGCUAAGUCAGAUAAAGGAAGUCUAAAAGCCCAAAAAAAUGUUAGGGCUCCAAAUCUUUCUGAAAAAUCUACACCUAGAAAACCAUCAAAAAGAGUAAGUUUUUCUGAUGAUGUGCAGGUCUUUCCCCCAUGUGAUGCCCCAAAAGAUGCUGAAAAGGGCUUAGUACAAGGUAAGCGGUUUUCAGAAGAAGAAGACAAGCUUGUAAAAGAGGCUGUUUUAACAUACCUAGAGGAACAUUGCUUAGGUGAUGAAGGCAUCGACAAGGUACUCAAUUGUAGAUCCAAUCCCCAAGUCAAAAAUUGUUGGAAGGAUAUUGGGGCAGCCUUACCCUGGAGGCCUUCUAAGAGCAUAUAUUAUCGAGCUCAUAUUUUAUUUGAACGAGUAUGAAGAAGUAUGAAGAAGUAAGACGUGCCGCCAUGGAAUCUAAGGAUAAAGGUGAAGCCAAACCCAAUUGGAGAAGGGUGGGUAAUGAACUUGGCAAACAUAGAAUUCAUGUCAAGGAUGCUUGGCGUAGAAUCAAACUGCCAAACAUGAAGAAAGGACAUUGGCCCCAAGAGGAGUACAAGACUUUAUUUGAUUUAGUGAACAAGGAUCUGCAGAUGAGGGCGUUGGAAGAAAAGAAAUCCAAGCAUGGCUUGCUGCGAGAUAAUAUCAAGUGGGAGUCAAUCAGUGAGACUUUAGGCACCAGAACCAAUCCCGCUUGCUGCCAGAAGUGGUAUUACCAAUUAACAUCACCUUUGGUAGCUGAAGGUGUGUGGGCUGAUGCUGAUGACUAUCGCCUACUUUAUGCUCUUGAUAGCUUGGAUGCUUGUUGCAUGGAAGACGUUGAUUGGGAUAAUGUUCUUGAGCACAGGUCUGGAGAUGUAUGUCGUAAGCGAUGGAAUCAAAUGGUCAAACACAUUGGUCAGUAUGGGACUAAGUCCUCUGCUGAAAAAGUUGAAAUUUUGUCGAAACGUUAUUGUGCUGAUGCACUUGAAGCAAGAGAAGUCUUCGAUAGUAAGCGUGCAGUUGACUCAGGUUUAUUUGGCAUCAAAGUAGCGGAUGUAAUUGAAACAAGGGAGGAGUCUCUAUAUGAUAGUAGCAAACCUGUCUGUCUCAUCCUCUGCCAUCGAUGCUCGCCGAAAACGCACUGCACUGCAUUGAUUUCUAGGUGCGCUGAUUGAAGUCGGUAUGCAAAAGCAACGCGGACAACAUCCAGUACGGCGGUUGACAACUCCCCAGUGGCACGGUUCGACCAUAAAUAUAUUAUUGACCUCGUGUUUUAUUUGAAUGAGGCGAAAAAACGCAUCUACCUCCGCUUCCAUUCAUGCCAACAAAGUCAGUUUCAUGAAAUAAUUGUGAAAUCCCACACCACUUGUAAUUAUUCAAGUUUGUCUCAAAUAAAAGAUACAUGUUCAUGGCA